rnacentral:rRNA from 1 species
UGCCUGUUUACCAAAAACAUCACCUCUAGCAUUUCCAGUAUUAGAGGCACUGCCUGCCCAGUGACAUCAGUUAAACGGCCGCGGUAUCCUGACCGUGCAAAGGUAGCAUAAUCAUUUGUUCCUUAAAUAGGGACUUGUAUGAAUGGCCACWCGAGGGCUUUACUGUCUCUUACUUCCAAUCCGUGAAAUUGNACCUUCCCGUGAAGAGGCGGGAAUAUGACAANUAAGACGAGAAGACCCUAUGGAGMUUUAAUUAACCGACCCAAAGAGAUCUUGAUAAUCAACCGACAGGGAUAACAUACCUCUACCAUGGGCCGACAAUUUAGGUUGGGGUGACCUCGGAGAAUAAAACAACCUCCGAGUGAUUUAAAUCUAGACUAACUAGUCGAAAGUACUACAUCACUUAUUGAUCCAAAAACUUGAUCAACGGAACAAGUUACCCUAGGGAUAACAGCGCAAUCCUAUUUUAGAGUCCAUAUCGACAAUAGGAUUGCGCGG